rnacentral:rRNA from 1 species
AGCAGUCGCCGCGGUAAAACGGAGGGUGCAAGCGUUAUCCGGAUUUAUUGGGUUUAAAGGGUCCGUAGGCGGAUCUGUAAGUCAGUGGUGAAAUCUCACAGCUUAACUGUGAAACUGCCAUUGAUACUGCAGGUCUUGAGUAAAUUUGAAGUGGCUGGAAUAAGUAGUGUAGCGGUGAAAUGCAUAGAUAUUACUUAGAACACCAAUUGCGAAGGCAGGUCACUAAGAUUUAACUGACGCUGAUGGACGAAAGCGUGGGGAGCGAACAGGAUUAGAUACCCCGGUAGUCCCUGUCUCUUAUAC